rnacentral:snoRNA from 1 species
AAUCCAUGCUGAGGGCAUUGCAUGGUGUACCCGCUAAAUCUUUCACAAGCCUCACAAAAUGAUUCAUGAUUCUUCUGUAUGAAACUUGAGAUUUCAUUUCUCAACCU